AGCAGUGUGGCUCAAUAGAAAGAGCAUGGGCUUAGGAGUCAGAGCUCCUGGGUUCUAAUUCCAGCUCUGCUC
rnacentral:tRNA from 1 species